CAGUAGGCUGAGGCCUAGGAGUCUGUAUUUUCAUCAGCUGCACAGGUGGUUUUUAGGCAGCUGGUCUGGACAGCACGGUUCCCUGUGCCGCCUGC